rnacentral:tRNA from 1 species
GGUUUCGUAGCUCAGUUGGCUAGAGCGUAAUCUUAACAUAAGCGCUCCCAUGAGCUGUGUCAAGACGGUUAAGGUCCCCGGUUCGAACCCGGGCGAAAUCA